rnacentral:rRNA from 1 species
UACGGAGGGUGCAAGCGUUAUCCGGAUUCACUGGGUUUAAAGGGUGCGUAGGUGGGCAGGUAAGUCAGUGGUGAAAUCUCCGGGCUUAACCCGGAAACUGCCGUUGAUACUAUUUGUCUUGAAUAUUGUGGAGGUAAGCGGAAUAUGUCAUGUAGCGGUGAAAUGCUUAGAUAUGGCAUAGAACACCAAUUGCGAAGGCAGCUUACUACACAACGAUUGACGCUGAGGCACGAAAGCGUGGGGAUCAAACAGG